CAGCUCUAAUUGACGUGUUUCCAUUGAGCAAAUUUAUUUUCGUAAUUCUAAUUUGAUUCAUUUUUUUUAAUCAUGUUUCUGAACCUGUUCAUGUUUCGUCUCCUCCUCGACCUGCUCUGCACUGACUUCAGCAUCUGUUCCCCGUGUUUGAGUCAGUCUACUGGAGUACGCUUUAGAAAAGUUUUUUAUUUUGAUUUAUUCUAUAUAUUUAUCAGUGUUGUGGGUUUUAGACCUGGUCAUUGGGGCUGUAGUCUUGCAUAACAUUACGUUUUUAGGAGUGUCUUUAAAGAGACAAUGUUAUCAAGGGAGCGCAGAUUAAAAGGGAGUUAAUUCCAGAACCUGGGGGCCACAGAGGAGAAGAACCGGUCACCACUGGUCUUAAAGUGAGUCAGGGGAACCAUAAGGAGAUGUUUUUUAAAUAAAUUAGAAACAAUAAAACCUGAAGGUUGAGAAUCCUUUAAACGUUUUGGAGGCUCUGAUCACCAAGACAGGAGUGUUUUUGAAUCUUCUGGGCUGCUGUGGAUAUAAAGGAUGGGCGAGGUGGUACCAGGUACCAGGAGGGCCGGGUUCUGAUGUGACUGUGUCGGCCUCUUCAGUUCUGUCAGCAGCAACAUGUUUCUGUACGUUUAAGUGAAUGAACUGUGUGGUCCGUUUGGAUCAGAACAAUGAACCUGGUCAAGCUGUCUGAGCGUGGAGGACCUGAGAAGCACUCAGCUGUACUUUGGGUUUUUCUCUUCUCCACAGUGUUUGUUGUGUUUUUGUGGAACAAUCCUGGUGUUGAAAGUUUCGUAGAUGUAAAAAUGGCGGCUCGUCGCUGUGAGGAGGCUGCUGUCCGUCUGCACUGUGAUCCAUUUCCUGAUUGGCCAACUUUUCUAUCAUCUUCCUGUUUGUGUGAUGCCAGAACCACCCUGUUGGCCCGUUACGCCUGCCCCCCCCCCUCCCAACGGGAGUGUGAGAGUCCGGGCCUGAGAAGGACCCGAGUCUUGGUCUGCGCGAGUUUAGGGUGCAGCUCUGUGUGGGUUCAGAUCCAGGUGUCCCAGGAUCUACUUCCUGUCUGUUCAGGACUCGAGCGGCCGCUGUUGGAGGCGUGUCAAUAACACUUCUCCUCAUCCUGACACUAAUGCAUGUCCUGCAGCAUCACACACUCACAACAAACUGUCACUAUCUUACCUGUGACACAUACACCUGCCCACCAAUCACUGCCAGGCUCUCAUCGUGCGUUCUCUCGCUGCAGGGGCGUCGCCAGACUGACGGAGGCUGAGGGUCCACUCCAGACCACCCCGGUAAAACCUGAAGCCUGUCGUUUGCAGGAAAACUCACUGGGAUCUGAUCUCCAUGUUUGAGUCUGCAGCUYCACGAGGACGGAGCAGCAUGCCUGGCUGCAGUACCUGGUCGUAUCCAGCAGAGGGCGGUCUGCUCCCAGCCCCGAGGGCAGAUGAUAUUUUCUUCUUCUCCUGUUAGAAAAUAAAAGAUCAAACAUGA